rnacentral:rRNA from 1 species
GCGCACGCUGGCGGCAGGCUUAACCCAUGCAAGUCGAGCGGGCAUCCUUGUGGUGUCCGCGGCAGACGGGUGAGUAACGCGUGGGAACGUGCCCUUCGGUUCGGAAUAACUCAGGGAAACUUGAGCUAAUACCGGAUACGUGCGAGAGCAGAAAGGUUUAUCUGCCGAAGGAUCGGCCCGCGUCUGAUUAGCUAGUUGGUGAGGUUACGGCUCACCAAGGCGACGAUCAGUAGCUGGUCUGAGAGGAUGAUCAGCCACACUGGAACUGAGACACGGCCCAGACUCCUACGGGAGGCAGCAGUGGGGAAUAUUGGACAAUGGGGGCAACCCUGAUCCAGCCAUGCCGCGUGAGUGAUGACGGCCUUAGGGUUGUAAAGCUCUUUUCUCCGGGACGAUAAUGACGGUACCGGAGGAAUAAGCCCCGGCUAACUUCGUG